rnacentral:rRNA from 1 species
CCUACGGGUGGCAGCAGUAGGGAAUCUUUCACAAUGGGCGAAAGCCUGAAGGAGCAACGCCGCGUGCAGGAUGAAGGCCCUCGGGUUGGUAAACGCCUUUUUAAGCGAGAAAAAUGAUGGUAACUUAUGAAUAAGGAUCGGCUAACUACGUGCCAGCAGCGGUGGUUAUAUGUAGGAGCCGAGCAUAAUCCGGAGUGACCGGGGGUAAAGAGUUGUGUUGGUGGGAUAAUAAGUAGCUAGGGGAAUCUGGUGGCUCAACCAUUCAGACUAUUGGCUAAACUGUGAGGCUCGAGACCGUUGGAGGUAAGCGGAAUUUGUGGUGUAGGGGUGAAAUGCGUAGAUAUUAGGAAGAACACCGAUAGCGUAGGCAGGUUGCUGGGACGGUUCUGACGCUGAGGCACGAAAGCGUGGGGAGCGAACGGGAUUAGAUACCCGAGUAGUC